UACGUAGGGUGCAAGCGUUUGUCCGGAAUUAUUGGGCGUAAAGAGCUCGUAGGCGGUCUGUCACGUCUGCUGUGAAAACUCGGGGCUUAACCCCGGGCCUGCAGUGGGUACGGGCAGACUAGAGUGCGGUAGGGGAGACUGGAAUUCCUGGUGUAGCGGUGAAAUGCGCAGAUAUCAGGAGGAACACCAAUGGCGAAGGCAGCUCGCUGGGACGGUACUGACGCUGAGACGCGAAAGCGUGGGGAGCAAACAGG
rnacentral:rRNA from 1 species